AUGAGCUACAGAGCUCUGAAACCAAACACAGCAUGAGGAUAUUCUAAAACAAUUCCAUAAAGAUCUGCACAAACAGGAGCACAAUUAAUUAUAAAUAUUAAACAGACACAUAGCAGAUCUUUUAAAAUCCAGUAGAACUUCUUAAACUGAAGACAGUUGACAUCCCUAUUGGCACUGAUCUUCACAUUUGAAGAUUACUCUAGAUGUUAAUAAAUCUAGGUGGAAAUUGCAACUGCUGAGCAAAAAGAUAAAGAAGUUAAGCCCAAGAGACACAAACUCCAUCUAAAGAGCUAUUGAGCAUGGCAUUUACAACACGAAUUUAAAUCUUAAGCCAGAGGAGAAUCUCCACCUUUGAGAGAUGUAUUUCAAUUUGUCUGGCCACUGGAUAGCCACCAACACAAUUGUGUAAGGACAUGUCAACCUUCAUCUCUCCUUGUUUCCAAGGACAGUCUACCUGAGUCCAAGUUCAAGAAAUUAGAUUGCCUGGAGAAACUUCCCAUUGACCUCAAAGCAUUUGUUAGACAAGCUUCUGCACAGACCCAAACUCUAAUACACCCAUAUGUAUCGAAUUUCUUACUUUGCUAUAAUGAGGAAAGCAUGGCAAGGGGCCACAGGGAAAUCUGCACUUGCUUUAUCCAUCACUUCCCCAUGACUAUUGGAAGCAAGGAAACCCAGUUCAUAUCAAACUUCUGUAAAUGAACACCAUGACACAUUUUCCAUCAAAGUUGAGAAAAUGUUGGACUUUAGGCAAGAGCCAGACCAGAAAUAUAACCAUACCUUCCCUUCUGCUCCAUUUGGGUAAUUUCUGGCAGGCUGAAAGGAUGUCAGGAGGGCUGAAGGCAGCUCUGCAAUGCCAGGAGUGAGCUGCAGAACAGAGUCUGCAUGGGACCUGACCAAACUAACACUCUGGACUGUCAGAGUGUGUCCCAGCACAUGUGGGAAGACAAUAAAUUACCUUCUUUUACCAUCCCUCCCACAUCUGCUGUAAAUGUGAGGAAGCAGUCCUUCCUCCACAGCAGUGAUCUUGAACAACUUAUUGUCGUAAGGGGAACCUCACUUUGUGUUCCCCGCUGCCACGUUCUCCUGCAGCUGGGAAGAACCAAUAGUUCUGAGAAUUUAAAUGAUCACAAAUCUCUAUUCUUUAAAAACAAAACAAGCCCAGAGAAAAUGGAUGCAUCUGAGCUGAUGUGUCCUACAGCCAGAAAUUUCAGCUAAAAGUAUCUGUAUCAAAAUAGUGCAGGUAACUUUCCCCUUCACUGAUGCUGAGAUAUGAGGCACACAUGAGAAGACAGAACUUCAGAGGAAUCACAUUGCUCAUGGGUAGUGUAGAGUGCUUUUAUUAUACAAGAUUAGGGAAGUACUUAUCAGCUGCUGAAAGCAACUCAGGAAACAAAGAUAGUUAAAGGAGUUUAUCCUCCAAGGAGGCAGAAAAAUCAAAAGCAGUUUCCAGAGAAGAUGAGCAUGUAGAUGUGUCCUGUCCUUCCUGACUGAGCUAAGCAAGGAAGAAAACAACCAUUUUAUUUGUAUCAGACAUAUCUGUUUUCUCAGAUGUGGCUGAAAUACACAUCUGCAAUCUUCAAUAGGAACAAUAGCAGUAAUUUCUUGGGUUUUUUGCAAUUUUCCUGUUUCUCAUGGCAUAAUCACCAGGGAUCCUGAUAGUUUUCAGGAUGCAAACGCAGAGAAAAACAUGCUUUUAGUGGCAAACCUUGGACAGACACAAAGAUACUGUUUUUUCCCUUCUCCUUCAAACAGCACUGCCAUACUGACUGUUCAACAGGCACAGCAGAGAUCCCACAGUUUAUGGCUGCAUCCACAGUGACCAAAACUAACAAACUAGAGAAACUGCUCUCCAGUGAAGAAAUUAUCAUAUUAUCAUAUUAUCCAGUGGAGAAAAUAUCAUAUUAGCUUGGUGAGAAAGCUUUGUUUCUAAAGCAUAUGGUGCUAGCAGGGAGCAGUGCUUAUCUUUGCCAAUAAAUGCUUUGCUUGUUAAACAAA